UUUCUCCCAGCAUCACUUAUUAAUGCUAAUUAGUCAAGGGUGUGCCGUGAUGCAGAACACUUGUGACCUGUAAGGAUUAGAGAGACAGACUGUCGUUUCUCAAAUGACCCACGAGAGGCAGCCAGAGUCAGCGACGGGGAAGGAGCGGAGGGGAAGAGGAACUUCUCUGCAAAGAAUCUCACUAAAGUGGUGAGCCCUGUGCAUGAGCCUCUGCCUGACUCAUCUUUGUAUCUGCAAUGCCUCACACAUGCCUCACAUCUCUCCGCCAGGCAAGCAGUGUUAGCGAAAACAGGAUGUCAUCAUGUCAUCAGUUAAGUAAAGAAGAGGUUGACAACAAACUGUGAAUAGAAAAGUCAAAUAGGGAGGCAUUGGCCUUUAAAAAAAUUAUUUUCCAAAU